GGCCUGGUAAUAUAGCGGUAACACACCCUCCCUGAAUUCGCGUUACUGGAGUUUUCCGAGGGUUCUUUGUUCGAAUCAAAGCCAGGCCA